rnacentral:misc_RNA from 1 species
GCAAACUUGGUCAUUUAGAGGAAGUAAAAGUCGUAACAAGGUUACCGUAGGUGAACCUGCGGUAGGAUCAUUAUCAAAUUAUCCAAACCAUUUUUUUAAUGGAAAAUCCAUUAAAAAAAAUAAUUCAUCUUUGUGUGGAUUAUAUAGAAGAAGUUUAAAGGAAAAAAAUAGGAACAAUUUUUUUUUUAAAAGUUGUCCUAUUUUUUUCUCUUCUUCAAAACAUUUAUAAACUCGUCUUACUUUUUUUGUCUGACAAAAACGAUAAAAUUAAUAAAAAAUAAUACAACUUUCAACAACGGAUCUCUUGGUUCUCGCAUCGAUGAAGAACGCAGC